UAAGUAGUUUCUCCUGGAGUAAUUCCUCCUGCUUGCUGCUGCUUCUUCUCCUGUGAGAAGAUGGGAAUAUUCCCCAGCAUUGAGUGGCUGUGGGAGCAGCUUCACUGACUGAAGCUGCUCAUUUAGCAGAUGAUCAUCACUCUCAAUUAUCCAGCUUCUAUCAAAUACUUGUUUAUAAGCAAUUCCCUGAUUACUACUCUUCACAGACUGCUUACGCAAACUGUUAGGGUUUUGUUCAGUUUAGUCUUUGUUUUCAUUACGUUCACCUUGUUUGCUCUUCUUCAGUUGACCCAGUUUUCUUGUGUGUUUGAUUAGUCAUUUAGUUCACCUGGUGUUCAUCAAUUAUCUAAUUAGUUCCCUCAUUAGUUCUUGUAUACGUACUCCUUGACUUGUUCACUCUUUGUCCUGUCACUGUUAGUUUUGGAUGUGUUUGCCUACCUUUUGAGUUGUUAGUAAACCUUUAGAGUUCUUUGGAAACCUAUUCUCCUGCUUUCUUCAGCCUUUGUACUAGUGAUGGCGAGAUGAAGCCUCAUGAAGCAUUGAAGCUUUUCAGCCAAGUGGUUCACAAAAAGGUUCAUUUCUUGAGGCUUCAUUUGCUCACAAUACCACCUGGUGGUCAAAGAGUGUAAAACAAGUAGAUACAUUACAGAUGACCCGAUGUGAUCUGUGAUACACUGUAUUUUGCGGCAGUUAUGGCCUAGAAAUAACGGUGAAGAAAAAAUCAAUUUCCACAAAGACUUAUAUAUUUAUUUGAAUGUAAUGUGUAUUUUCUGGUUGUAUAUGAUUGUAUAACAUAAGUGUGUAAUAAACGUAUUGGCUUCAAAUGAAUGGGGCUAUCAAAUGUGUGUAAACAAAUUCUUUGGUCAUAACAGGCAGGAGGGGCGAUAUUAUUAUUCUAAAACCACAAAUUCUGAGGGGAUCCCAUGGUUUAUAUGUCUGUCAAAAUGUCGCGUCAAGAUUUGAACCACAUCCAGUCGAACCAUUCGAACCAGUCAGGCAGAAGCGAGGCUUCGAACGUCAUCAAUGACGUCAUUGAUCUAAAGCGAUACAAGCCUCGAUAUGCGCUUCACUGAAAGCUUCCGGGAUUUCUCGACACACGCUCCGAAGCCUCGGCACAGACCGUGACUUCCCGGGCUCCAUAGUCUCUUCCUGAAUCAAGAUGGACUCAACAUGAUCAGGUUUCCAUCCUUCACCAACAGGAGAUUCACCAGUCAUGAUCAAUUCCUGAUGUUUAUUUUCCAUACCAUGUGCUGGUCUCUCUCUGCUGUGUUCAGGAAAAUACAUGAUGCAGUGCAGGA